UACAGAGGUCUCAAGCGUUGUCCGGAUUUAUUGGGCGUAAAGAGCGUGUAGGCGGCCAGGUAGGUCCGUUGUGAAAACUCGAGGCUCAACCUCGAGACGCCGAUGGAAACCAUCUGGCUAGAGUCCGGAAGAGGAGAGUGGAAUUCACGGUGUAGCGGUGAAAUGCGCAGAUAUCGGGAAGAACACCCGUGGCUAAGGCGGCUCUCUAGUACGGUACUGACGCUGAGACGCGAAAGCGUGGGGAGCGAACAGG
rnacentral:rRNA from 1 species